GGUCUUUUUCCGAUAGAGAUACUACACGCAUGACAUGCAACGCCACCCCGCUCGAUCUAGAUCUCGGCGGCGGCGGCGGCUCCUCCCUCUACUCGCGCACCGACGGAUCCCCCGGAGCCCUCCCCACCUCCUCCCUUCUCAGAGCCCAUAUCGCUACCCACUGCUGCGGUACUUGGGAGGAGGAAUUGGCGACGGAGGUGGCUCCACCUGGAUGUCGCCGACCGCCCACCGGAAGGAAUCAAAGCGGGACGAUGUGGUUCGGUGGCCAACGCGGGGCAGGAGGCGGCCAUGGCGUUCCCGGCCAUGGCGGUCUUUCUCGAUCCGAAGAGGAGACGUCCUCCAAUCAGUUCCGCCCUCUCCCCCGCCGGCUUCGCCCUCCACUCACCUUCUUUCCUUAAAGAGGGGAGGCCCCAGAUUGAGUCGAGCAAGUCAGCAGGCCGGCGGCCAGAUCCGCCACAGCCACAUCUUGUCGAGAUGGGUCGCACCGGGAGAGGUAGAUCGAGGGGGCGGGCACCGGUGCAGGGUGUCCGGGGACUGGUGUGGCAGCCGGCGGUUUGAUUCCGUGGUGGAGGAGGCCUUGACCAUGGUCGGGGCAUCCGCUUGAUCUCACGCCUCUCCUGGCCACCGCCACCGCUCGAUUCCAUGCCUCCACCAGCUGCCGCCGUUUGAGCACACGGGCGCGAGAAUGGGAGACGAUUCUGACGGGCGUAUGGGCCAUCAUCCUCCAGUCAGCAUCAUGGACGGUACUAGAUGCAGCAGUGGGACCUUACCCCUGCUCUCGGCUAUGAGACGCCUGGUGAUGUAUCAAAUUCUAUCCUGCAAAAUAAAGUAGCGCUGAGGAUGAUGGUUUUCAUGUUGCCUUGGAUCAUGCUCGUUCGGUAGUGGCCUCUAAUAUGUCAGAUAGUCCAUGUCGUUGGACGUCGUCGGGCUGGCGGAGAGCAUGUCCAUGGUUGAUCUGGAGGUCGUGUUCGGCUCCAUCGGCCGCGUCACCGGCUCCGAGUUCGUGUGCACUAGCGGCCACAGCUUCGUCUACAUUGCCACUGCCCCUCCCACAAGGUCAUGACGAAGUUGUUCUCCACCGUAAUCAUCAACAAUCUCAUUGUAACUCUGUUUCUACACCUCGGCAACAAUUAAUAGUAGCAGAUUGGGGUUUUGUUGAUUUUCCACAUUAGCCAUGUGCAUUCUGUGGUUUGAAUGGAGAAGGUUGUGUUUGAGGCGAGUAGAGCUUUACCAACUUAAUAACAGAGGGUGGUGCUUGCAGUUUCUGUGGGUGCUGAUUGUUCCCCAGUCUCAGUUUCUUGGAAUGGCGGUUCAAGAAGGGACAUCAUCGUGUGGCUUGCGUGACCAUAGGGCUCUUGACCAAGCCGAGCGAAUUAAUUUUCACAGCUCACCGGUAUUGCAAUUUUAUGGUGCGAGUGUCUCUUGACCAUAGGGCAUCUGAACCAUUGUGUUGAUUGCCAUGUUGUCAGUUGUCACUUUACAGUCCUAGAAGUUUUGCUUGAAAAUCUCAGAAUAUCAUAAUUCCAGCAUUUCAAAAGCUAAACAACACGAUGUUCCUAAAAAGAUGUUGUUUUGCUUGCAGAAUAUAAUUAGUUUUGAUUUAUUUUGUAGUGAAAAGGUCUGUACACAAGGUUUGUUGUGUAUUUUGUAGUUACCUCCAUUGAUUGUAUCGUAUUGAGUGCUGUAUGUAGUGAGUUGGGCGUGUGUGUCCUGUGGAGGCGCUGUGCACCUUCAGGGUCAUGAUGGCCAUCUGCUGUCGAGCUUCACCGCCUCACGCAGCAGGACUGACUCUGAUGACCUGUUUAGAGCAGGUUCGAUCCAAUCUACCUUUUAUUUCCAUGGCCUUCCCACCUCCACCCCUAUUAUUGCUAUUUUACUUAGUGCGUGUUUUGAGAAGAUCAGGCUGCAUAUUGUUCUAUACUUCUUUACCUUUAAAAAAAGCUUGGUUUUUAUACAUAAUUUAGCAUGGGUAAACUAAUAAAAUUUAAUCAUGGAGAAGGACAUGAGCUUGCACAGAGUUUUUAGUAGAUGACGACAUAAAUUGUGGCAUUGGUCGCAAUCUAGAAGUUUUUCAGGUGAGUGACAUGGUUUAAUUUGGAGAAGGACGAGCUAGGAUGCAGUCACAUAUUUUUUAAUGGUUCCUGCCUAUUCCUUGUGGUAUUAUCAAUAUUUUCUAAUUGAAUUGAACUUCUAUGUGAUAACCUUCCAGAUCCAAAUCCUACUUCAGAAAGUGUAUAUGAGCAAAGGUCUGCACCUAAACGUUAUCAGAAGUGAGGUCUUAGACAAGACGAAGGGCAUAACCGAUGGCACCAGCGGGAGGUGAGUGCCGGUGGAGAUAAGUGAAAAGGAGUAGCGUGAGGCGGUAGACAGCCUUGAAGAGGAUGAGAGGGCCUGCUGCUGGGGUUUACUCCUAGGUAUUUUUGGAUCAGUGCCGGCGGCCCAGUGCCGCCGCAUACUCCAGUACAGCCCAAACGUGGAUGCAGGUGGAUGUGGGCACCGUGGCCGCCACCAAGGAUGUGGGGGUCGCGCCACAACCGGCAUGGACGCGGUGGGAACGCCGAAACUGUCAAGGACACGGGAGCCACACUUCAGCCUUAGUGUUUUCCCUAAUUUCUUUAGGUCUAAAUACUGGAUGAGAUUCUCAUUUCUGGCAUUCUUCAUGAACCUAUCAAGGAGAACAUUUCAAUACUAAUUGCCGCAAAGGUGUUCUCAACACCGGCUAGCAAGAAGAGAGUAUGUUUUUUUAAUGCUCACUGUUGUAAGCUUGAUUCACACGGAGCUUCUCAAUGUUGUACAUGUAGUUUGUGAGUAACAGAAAUAAAACCUAUUACUUCAUUCUUGUCUUGUACCUCCGAUUCAUAUCCCACUAAUCAAUAGAGUUCAGUUAUGUGCUUCAAUAUUAGGAAGUCAUUAUCUUCUACUCCCUCCAUUCCUAAAUAUUUGUCUUUCUAGAGAUUUCAACAAGUGACUACACAAGAAGCAAAAUGAGUGAAUCUACACUCUAAAAUAUUUCUAUAUACAUCUGUAUGUGGUAGUCCAUUUGAAAUCUCUAAAAAGAAAUAUAUUUGGGAACGGAGGGAGUAAAACAAAUUUUGUUACCUACUCAAACAUAUUUUGUUCCUGUGUUUCUGAUAAAUUUUCUAUAAAAAUGUGUACAAUAGAACAUGCAGAACCUGCAUUGGACCAUGAUCAUUUGCUCUAUUCAUUUCUUCUAAAGAGUACAGAUUCCUACGCAUUCAUAAAUACGAUUUAGUGUGCUAUUACAUUUCUUGGAAUCAAAUGCUAUAUUUUCUGUGGGAAUUCGUUGACACGGUUCCUUACAAAAGUUGUAUCUUUGAAACGGACAAAUAGCUCUAUGUAAUUCUAUCAUAUUCUGAUUUUGAGGCAAGUAUACCAGUUAUCCUUUUCCUUUCUAGCAAGGUACCAUAGUACAUGUUAUGAAAUUCUCCUUUGCCUUCCAGGUGAACCAAAUAGGCGUCUUUUUAACAAAUGGAGGGAAUUCGUUUGUCAAUAAAAGUUAUCUGGAAUGAUGGUAGGUAUUAAUGAAGUAGUCCACGUUAGCUGGACUGGCUCAAAUCUUAGCAAUUUAGAACCUCAAUAUCUUGGGGCUGCCUUGCAGUAUUUCAGAGAGCUGUAUUAUUCCCGGACAUUUUAUAUUGCCUCACGAUGAGAGUUGAAAGUGGGCUGAUGUGCUGUCAGAACCUCCCCCCCCCCCCCCCCCUCUCUCUCCCUCUCCCUCUCUCUAAUGGAUAAUAACCUACACAUGUGAGAUGAUUGAAUCUUAAGCAUAAAUAAUA